GCCUGUCUCUCCAGACGCAUCCUUUCUGUAGCCCCAGUGUCCUCCCACCCAGGCCUCUCUCCCUACUCCGUGCCCCUGUCUCCAGCUAACCAACCCAGUGUCACCCCCCCUUUUGUCCUAGGGCGCUGUGACCCUUCCUUACUCCCACCCCUGCAUAUUCUCACUCUGCCUCCUUGGUGGGUGCCCGCCACUAUCUCUAUUUUGAGGUGACUCUCAGAGGCAGUCUUAAAGGACCAAGUACAAACAGCAGUUGGCAGAAACACCUAGAACUUCCUUCUGGUCUAGGGCUUGCCUUCCUUUCCCAGCGGGGCUGCAUGCAGUCUGCAACAUCCUUGCAGCUCAGGUGGGAACUGACCAGCAAGGGCCUCCGCCUUGGCCAUCAGGAGACACAGUGAGGAGGCAGUAAGUGGGUGGGUCACCUGCCAAACAGUGGUUCGAAAACGCCCUGCCGCGUCGGACGCGCCCAGAUCUUUGGCUUGCAAUUCCCGCAUUACAAGCUAUUUUUAAGAUGCGGCUUCCUCAUCUUCUCUUGCUGAACACUUGUAAUAAUACCCCCCGCUGUUCUAGAAAAACAAUGGAAAACCAGCGCUCUGGUUUGGCACGCCUUUGGUGCUGCAGAGCUAAAAUUCAGAACCGUCUUAGCGGGUCCUGGCUGGAAGAGGAGGCUAGAGGCAGUCGUACCCGGAGGCUUCACUGCGGGCCGCCGAGGCAGAGGGAAUGUCUUCUUGGACCCGGAUACCGGGCAAGCAUCAGGGAAAGGCACUGGAAUGGUGGGAAGACAGCUCAAUCCCUGCACCCGCAACUGGGCUCUGUCCCACAUCCCUCCUCCCCCACUGCCCUGUGGUGGUUUACGACAGGACAAGUCAGCCGUAGUGAGAACUGAAUUAUAUAACGGAAUUCCUCUAAGACUACAUCAGCGUGCAGUUAUGUAAGACCAACAAAGAGCAAACAGUUGGGGAGAUUUGGACAUAGCAAGGAAACAAACUUUCGGUGUCAUUUUCAAGUGCUUAGGGACCUUCAAAGGUGUGGAAAUGAAUGAACUUUCCCUCUCUCUUGCUGAGUGUCCGCUGGAAGAGCAUCCUAGAGACAGGAUCUCCUGGAGUCUUUACAGUAAGCGGGGUUUGCUUUAGGUAUCAGGGGCAAAGACAGGUGCCCAGAGCGCUGGCCUGGGAUCCAGGGGGACAGAACGAUCCAAAGAUCAAGUACAUGAUGCAGUGGAGAGAAGUCAGUCUGAGGAGUCCACAGGAAGGAGGGACAGGCCUGCUCUAAGGGUGGAAAGGCUUGAGUCUGAGGUGGUCAAAGGACAAGAGCAGAGCACAAGACUGGGGAGGGACCCUAGGUACACUGAUGGCGGUGGCAUGUUAGCGCAAGUGCAGCUGUGGCGGUGGCAUGUUAGCACUGGUGCAGCUGUGGCGGUGGCAUGUUAGCGCUGGUAAAGCUGUGGCGGUGGCAUGUUAGCGCAGGUGUAGCUGCGGAGGUCUUUAGCGUCUGCAUCUUGCUACAUCAGGGGGCGUAGACUCUACUGAGAAGCAUUUGAAGUCUGAAGGAAGUACAGUCUUUGUGACUCAAGAGCAGGAGAAGGGUGAAUCAGACAGAAGAACGCUUGGGGCACCACGAUCCACCAGGGUGACUCUGGCUGUCCAACUGACCCAGUCCUGGACCCAAGCAGUAGCCGAGAAAGAGGUAUGAGGAGGAGCUGCACACCUUACAGGACUCUGGAUUGGUGACUCCCCGUGGAGACAGAAAAGAAUAGCAAGUUCAAGAACCAUCCAUAGAAGGUGGCCUUCCUUUAUAACGUUGAGACAAUGUCCCCCCAAGCAAAAUGGUAGACCUUAUAAGGGCCUUCAUUUAAAUGCUGCAGCCAGUGCGCUGAGGUUGGAGCGCAGCAGUAAAGAGCUGGCCUAGCAUGCAUAAGCCCUUCAGUCUGAUCCUCAUUCCACCAGAAAGCAAUGAAAACAGAAAAAUUGCAACCACUGUUGACUGGAGCACUUUCAAGACUGAUUAUGCAUUAUCCCUGAAUUACCAUCCUGAAUAUCAUGUUAUUCUGGACUUUAUUAUUUUUUUUUAAAUAGUUCUAGGGGGCUGGAGGGAUGACUCAGUCGUUCUGAGUUUUUCUUGCUAUUGCAGAGGACCUGAGUCCCACCACCCACAUCAGGCUCCCUCCAGGGGUUCUGGUGCCCCCUUUUGGUCUCUGAGGGUACUGUACUUCUGUUCAAAUCCACACAGACACAGGUACAAAUAAUUAAAAAAUAAAAAUUAAAACGAUACAGUUUUAGCCAAUAUUUUAAUGAGUACUCAAGUCUCAGUCUUGCACUAAUUCUCUCCAUGCUCACCCAUAUUUUUAAUAUUUUUAUUUUUUAAUGACACAAUAAUUGUACUUAUUUAUGGAGUAUGAGAUCAAAGAAGUGCUGGGAUUACAGGCGUGUACCACCAUGUUUAUCUGUUUAGGCAGGUUUUUUUUUUUUGAUUUUUUUCGAGACAGGGUUUCUCUGUAGUUUUUGGUGCCUGUCCUGGGACUAGAUCUUGUAGACCAGGCUGGCCUCGAACUCCCAGAGAUCCACCUGCCUCUGCCUCCCGAGUGCUGGGAUUAAAGGCGUGUGCCACCACCGCCCGGCAUGUUUAGGCAGUUUUUUGAGGCUGGAUUUAUUUGUUUUAGUUUUGUCAAAUAGAGGGUUAUAAGAAAAAGAUUAAUAGUAAGGAUAAUCUUACUAUCUUAUUUUAUUUAUGUGUCUUUAUGUCUGUUUUGAAUUGUCCCACUUAAACCAUCUCAUUGACAGAUUUUGCCCCUGCUUGUAUCCUUACAUAUUUUAAGGGACAUGAGAUAGCCUACCAAAUUCCUGCCCUGUAAGUCACGGACCCAACCCCCUCUCUUGUUACCGUUUUGAAUUAAUUUUUAAUCUCACGGCCACAUGAAGUGCCCAAGGCAGAAGUCCUUUCCCAGAGUCAGUAGCUCUCAAAUAUCGUGAUAGUUGGGGAUCUGAAACUUCAACCUCUGUGGAAUGGGAAGGCUGAGCAAACCUGUGAAAUUUGAAUAGGUGGUUUUUACAGUCGUUUAGUAAUUUGGAAGAACGCAGCAGCACCCCGUUAAUCAGUGGUCUCUUCCUGGGUAAAAUGAGCCAUCUGAUAUGGAUUUAUCCACGGUGGGGGGGGGGGGCAGGGAACGGCAGUGUCCUCCCGCCUCUUAAAAUGUUUGCCCCCGUGGGGGAGGGUCACAGAUAGGGCUCUGCUAGGUCACGGAGUCACUGCACCGCCUCAGCCCCAGAGUGCGUGACACUGGCUGGCAGCAUCUGAAGGUGCUUACAGAGAAGAAUUUGGUUCCGUGCCGAAACCAUCUGUUCAGGGCUUUCAGUACUGGGGUAGUAGUAACCCAGUGCUCUCCCUCACUUCCUGCUGCCCUGCUCCCACUCAGGUGGUCUAGGAAGUCAUAAAGAGCAUUGCUGUCACAAGAGAUAGAUAGUAUCAUUUUUCACAAGCCUGUGUAGAACAGCGAUACCUUGUUUUGGAGCUGAGUGACACCUUGCUCCCUGCUUUUGCCCAGCUUCUGAUUUACUGUAGCCCAGGAGGACUGGGGGAGUCUUGUCUGUUGCCACCAACCAAGCCUUUAGGGUGAGGACGACUUGCACUGCUGUGGAGUGUGACGUGAAUAAGCAAUAAAAAGGAGCUCACAGCUGCAGAGUGGACUCUCCAGAAGGACACAGAGAUGCUGGACUCACAGCCAAAGCAAAACAGCUCCUAGAAGAACCAGUGUAUGUGUCUGCAGUCAAGGCUAGAGCAAAGAUCACGCCUGUAAAUAGUGUGAAGAGUGAAGCAUAGGGUUGACUCACAC